AGCAGCCGCGGUAAUUCCAGCUCCAAUAGCGUAUAUUAAAGUUGUUGCAGUUAAAAAGCUCGUAGUUGAAUUUCGGGAUUAGUACGCUGGUCGUGCCUUUGGUAUGUACUGGUGUUACUGGUUCCUACCUUCUGACGAACCGUCAUGUCAUUAAUUUGGUGUGGCGGGGAAUCAGGACUGUUACUUUGAAAAAUUAGAGUGUUUAAAGCAGGCUCGCGCUUGAAUACAUUAGCAUGGAAUAAUGAAAUAGGACGUUCGAUCCUAUUUUGUUGGUUUCUAGGAUUGACGUAAUGAUUAAUAGGGAUAGUUGGGGGCAUUAGUAUUCAAUUGUCAGAGGUGAAAUUCUUGGAUUUAUUGAAGACUAACUACUGCGAAAGCAUUUUGCCAAGGAUGUUUUCAUUAAUCAAGAACGAAAGU
rnacentral:rRNA from 1 species